UGGAUGCAAAUGGAUUUUUCCUUAGGAAUUCAGAGUUGCUGAGUUUUGCAUCAAGACUGAAAGAGGCCAAAAAGAGAAGCUGUGUGGGUAGGACUGUGUGAUGACUCAUCCUACUCAAAAUUCUCUAGACUCGGUUUGUGCAAUAUUGGAUUCUACAAUGCUGAGCAAGGGAAGAAAAGUGUUUAAAGGAGAGCCACAAAUAAGAAUAUAUAGGUUGAAUAUAAACUUUAUAGAGCCUGAAUAGAUUGGAAUGGAAUAGAUGGAGGCUUCACACUCCUUCCCACAUGCAUUGUCCUAUGCAUCUCUUCAUCUGGUGUUCAUCGGUAUCCUUUGUAAUAUCCUUUAUAAUAAGCUAGUAAAUGUGAGUACAGUCAUGUGUCACUUAAUGAAGGAGAUACAUUUUGAGAACUGUGUUGUCACCAGGCGUGGUGGCUCUUGCCUGUAAUCUCAACACUUUGGCAGGCUG
rnacentral:lncRNA from 1 species